GUCUCUAGCCCAGUUGGUAGAGUAUGAGACUUUUAAUCCCAGGUGUCAUGAGUUCGAGCCACACAUUGGGUGAAACA